rnacentral:rRNA from 1 species
UACGAAAGGUGCAAGCGUUGUUCGGAAUGACUGGGCGUAAAGCGCACGUAGGUGGGCUUGUAAGUCGGAUGUGAAAGCCCCAGGCUUAACCUGGGAAUGGCACCCGAAACUAUAAGUCUUGAAUGCUUGAGAGGUUGGUGGAAUUCCUGGUGUAGGAGUGAAAUCCGUAGAUAUCAGGAGGAAUAUCGGAGGCGAAGGCGGCCAACUGGUGGUGCAUUGACACUGAGGUGCGAAAGCGUGGGGAGCAAAC